GCCCUCUUGGCUAAGUGGUUACAGCGCGGCACUUGUAUAAAUUGCCUUUCUGGGUGUUUAGCAUAUGCCGAGAUCACUCGUUCAACUCGGGUAGUGGGCA